UGCCCCACAAUCCUAUCCCUACCUCUUCGUGGUACCAGCCGGGGUACUAGUAACCUUAGGAAAGAUCAGGUUACCAACCCCGAUGGGGAAUCUGGUCGUAUGCUGACAGGGAAGG
rnacentral:ribozyme from 1 species